rnacentral:rRNA from 1 species
GGCAACGGCCAUACCAUGAUGAAUACACCAGUUCUCGUCCGAUCACUGAAGUUAAGCAUCAUUGGGCGCGGUUAGUACUUAGAUGGGGUACCGCUUGGGAAUACCGCGUGUCGUUGGCAU